UACGUAGGUGGCGAGCGUUGUCCGGAUUUACUGGGCGUAAAGCGCGCGCAGGCGGCAGUCUAAGUCCUCUGUGAAAUCACCCGGCUCAACUGGGUGGCUGCGGAGGAGACUGGGCAGCUUGAGGGGCCUGGAGGCCGGUGGAACUCCCGGUGUAGUGGUGAAAUGCGUAGAGAUCGGGAAGAACACCAGUGGCGAAGGCGGCCGGCUGGGGGCGCCCUGACGCUGAGGCGCGAGAGCGUGGGGAGCAAACGGG
rnacentral:rRNA from 1 species